rnacentral:rRNA from 1 species
GAUGAACGCUGGCGGCGUGCCUAAUACAUGCAAGUCGAGCGAACAGACGAGGAGCUUGCUCCUCUGACGUUAGCGGCGGACGGGUGAGUAACACGUGGUCAACCUACCUAUAAGACUGGGAUAACUUCGGGAAACCGGAGCUAAUACCGGAUAAUAUAUUGAACCGCAUGGUUCAAUAGUGAAAGACGGUUUUGCUGUCACUUAUAGAUGGAUCCGCGCCGCAUUAGCUAGUUGGUAAGGUAACGGCUUACCAAGGCAACGAUGAGUAGCCGACCUGAGCGGGUGAACGGCCACACUGGAACUGAGACACGGUACAGACUCCUACGGGAAGCAGCAGUAGGGAAUCUUCCGCAAUGGGCGAAAGCCUGACGGAGCAACGCCGCGUGAGUGAUGAAGGUCUUCGGAUCGUAAAACUCUGUUGUUAGGGAAGAACAAAUGUGUAAGUAACUAUGCACGUCUUGACGGUACCUAAUCAGAAAGCCACGGCUAACUACGUG